ensembl:ncRNA lncRNA:CR43337 long non-coding RNA:CR43337
GCUUAGUUGUGGGGUUACUCUGCGUUUCUUAUAGCCUGGCCUAUGAUGAUUGUCCACGAAAUUGGCAAGGCGAAGAGGUGCUUCAACAUCAUAAUCCACGAUCCGGAGAUGGCUGAUGAGAACGAGGCUCGGGGAGUCUUGGACUUGGUUCGAUGAACCAAUUAGAUCAAACAACUUACACCACUCCGCACACACACACACACACACCUCUACUGGGUGCAACAAUACAACAACUGAGGAGAAGACUGCGAGAACAACAAAAAAGAAUUCUUUACGAGCCUCGCUCCGGUGCACGGUCAUCAAGUCAGCUCGUUCAACAUUCAAGAGGCAUCGAUGAUAAUAUUCAUUCAUUUGAUCAAACCGCCGACGAUGUCGACGGAGACGGAGAUGCAGACGACGACGAUGGAGACGACUUUCAUUAUGGGCCUGGGUCUCCAGACCCCGUCCCAGUAGUCCCCCCAUCGCCGUGCCCAUCCGAGCUCCAUCACCAUCCACCUCCGUCUACUGGGAGGCCGCCCAAACGCAGUCCAAAACCAAGUCAGGAACGGUGGGGAAGUACAAAAACAUAUUGCCAAAGUAGCAGCAACAGGCAAAGCAACUACGGCAACAUCAUUGACCAACAACAGCAACACGAGAAAUCUCAACAGCAGCAUUAUGCAUCAUUACACUGAGAGAAACGAAAGCAGUGCACUCAAUCGACACAUUCACUUAUAGGUCUCAAAAUCGAUGAGAAAAAGGAAUAUGUUGAACGGGUGGUGGCGGUGGCGGCGUUCGCUUGUAGCACGGCUCAAAACUGCUGUCCGUUGUCCGAUUGUCCGUUUGUCCGCCGUCCGUCGAUCGUCCGCUCACACAUAUAGCACACAAGGGCACGGACACACCUCCACACACACAGCACACGCACCCAGAAUGCAGACGAAGCCGAGACCUCUUUUUAAUGUAUUGCAAUUCCAAGAAUUUAGGAAGAGGAACGUGAGAAACUUUGUUUUUGUUAUUUUCUUUUCUUUGCAUUUCAUUUCAAGAUACGAUGCCGAUCUCUGACUCCCUGCCCCGCCCCCGCCCCCGGCCCCAUACUCCCUCGCCCACUGACAGUGUCUACGUCUCGAGCGUCCAGGCUUCAUGGCUUUGUCCAUCGGUGCUGAUAGCCUGGCUAUCAAAUCUGGCUGGUGUCCCUUGAUGAAGCUUCUUCAAAGGAUUCAGGAUUUUAUAUAUACCAGUUAGUUAUAUAAUACCCAGUUAGAAAUUCAGAAAUCCUAUCCUAGUGGUUGUGGUUGCAAACGUGCUAAGCACACUUUCCGGUUUUGUGAGAAAAUCUCUUAAAAAUAGAUUCACCUAACCCAAAAAUGCAUUUUUCACACAUUGCAAUCGAAAUUACGAUUACGUACACAAACGGCCUUAUAUGUAUCUUCAAACAAAUGUUUACCAAUAAAAUACAUUUUUCAACUGCUAAAAAUGG